AAAACUGCAAACUGUGAAACAGGAGGAGAUACAAGGUGGGGAUGUCCGGACAGCAUGUCUUCUUUUUGAGACAGAAAAUCUGGACAACAUACAGGGCGGUGAAGGGAAAGAAACGAAGCCCGUGGAGAUGGAUAUAGAAUCUGGGGAUGUCUCUGGCAUGAAGUAUAAGUUUGAAAAUCAGUCCUUAGACUCUAUAAGUUGCAGUUCGGAGAAUGUUUUGAAUAAGAUCAAAACCCUAAAAAUCGAAGACAUUCAGAAAGGCAAUGUUUUAAAUUGUAGGUGGCUAUUUGAAAAUCAACCUAUCGAUAUGAUAA
rnacentral:lncRNA from 1 species